rnacentral:rRNA from 1 species
AUUGAACGCUGGCGGCAGGCCUAACACAUGCAGGUCGAGCGGAUGAAGGGAGCUUGCUCCUGGAUUCAGCGGCGGACGGGUGAGUAAUGCCUAGGAAUCUGCCUGGUAGUGGGGGAUAACGUCCGGAAACGGGCGCUAAUACCGCAUACGUCCUGAGGGAGAAAGUGGGGGAUCUUCGGACCUCACGCUAUCAGAUGAGCCUAGGUCGGAUUAGCUAGUUGGUGGGGUAAAGGCCUACCAAGGCGACGAUCCGUAACUGGUCUGAGAGGAUGAUCAGUCACACUGGAACUGAGACACGGUCCAGACUCCUACGGGAGGCAGCAGUGGGGAAUAUUGGACAAUGGGCGAAAGCCUGAUCCAGCCACGCCGCGUGUGUGAAGAAGGUCUUCGGAUUGUAAAGCACUUUAAGUUGGGAGGAAGGGCAGUAAGUUAAUACCUUGCUGUUUUGACGUUACCAACAGAAUAAGCACCGGCUAACUUCGUG